CUGAAGUUGAUUCCUGAAAGGAAAGGAGGAAAGGAGGUUUUGGAGAUGGAGAGAAUCUCAGCAAGAGAGAGGAAGGAAGAGGAAAAAGAGAAACAUCAAUGAUCAGAGAGAAACAUCAAUCGGUACAUCCUGCAUGCCCCCGACCGGGGAUUCAUCCUGAAA